CCUACGGGAGGCAGCAGUGAGGAAUAUUGGUCAAUGGGCGCGAGCCUGAACCAGCCAAGUAGCGUGAAGGAUGACUGCCCUACGGGUUGUAAACUUCUUUUAUAAAGGAAUAAAGUGAGGCACGUGUGCAUCUUUGUAUGUACUUUAUGAAUAAGGAUCGGCUAACUUCGUGCCAGCAGCCGCGGUAAUACGGAGGAUCGGAGCGUUAUCCGGAUUGAGUGGGUUUAAAGGGAGCGUAGAUGGGUUGUUAAGUCAGUUGUGAAAGUCUGCGGCUCAACCGGAAAAUUGCAAUUGAUACUGGCAGUCUGGAGUACAGUUGAGGUAGGCGGAAUUCGUGGUGUAGCGGUGAAAUGCUUAGAUAUCACGAAGAACUCCGAUUGCGAAGGCGGCUUACUAGACUGCAACUGACAUUGAUGCGCGAAAGUGUGGGUAUCAAACAGGAUUAGAUACCCGGGUAGUC
rnacentral:rRNA from 1 species